rnacentral:rRNA from 1 species
AUUGAACGCUGGCGGCAGGCCUAACACAUGCAAGUCGAGCGGAUGAAGGGAGCUUGCUCCUGGAUUCAGCGGCGGACGGGUGAGUAAUGCCUAGGAAUCUGCCUGGUCGUGGGGGAUAACGUCCGGAAACGGGCGCUAAUACCGCAUACGUCCUGCGGGAGAAAGUGGGGGAUCUUCGGACCUCACGCUAUCAGAUGAGCCUAGGUCGGAUUAGCUAGUUGGUGGGGUAAAGGCCUACCAAGGCGACGAUCCGUAACUGGUCUGAGAGGAUGAUCAGUCAAACUGGAACUGAGAAACGGACCAGAGGACUACGGGAGGCAGAAGUGGGGAAUAUUGGAGAAUGGGCGAAAGCAUGAUACAGAAAGGCCGAGUGUGUGAAGAAGGUCUUCGGAUUGUAAAGCACUUUAAGUUGGGAGGAAGGGAAGUAAGAUAAUACCUUGCUGUUUUGACGUUAACAACAGAAUAAGCACCGGCUAACUUCGUG